rnacentral:misc_RNA from 1 species
GAUGAAGAACGUAGCGAAAUGCGAUACGUAAUGUGAAUUGCAGAAUUCAGUGAAUCAUCGAAUCUUUGAACGCAUAUUGCGCUCUCUGGUAUUCCGGAGAGCAUGCUUGUUUGAGUAUCAGUAAACACCUCAACUUCCAUAUCUUUUUUGAAAUGGGAGUUGGACUUGAGUGAUCCCAACGCUUUUCCUCACCGAAAAGUGGCGGGUUACUUGAAAUGCAGGUGCAGCUGGACUUUUCUCUGAGCUAUAAGCAUAUCUAUUUAGUCUGCCUAAAAAACAGAUUAUUACCUUUGCUGCAGCUAACAUAAAGGAGAUUAGUUCUUGUGCUGACUGAUGCAGCAUUCACAAAGACGGCUUCGGCCGACUUUGUAAACUCGAUCUCAAAUCAAGUAAGACUACCCGCUGAACUUAAGCAUAUCAAUAAGCGGAGGA